GGCCUUGUAACUCAGUCGGCCAGAGCGUCGGCUGUACUUAAGCCUUCCCCUUGCUGGUGUGGGUUCGAACCCCAGCAAGGCCA
rnacentral:tRNA from 1 species